CUGUGACACAAGGUGCCUGUGCCACAAAGGCCACCCCGGCAUGCCUGGAGCAGCCGAAGGCUCUGGGAAUGGCUGGAGCAGGGCCGGCCUUGGGGCUCGCAGCUGUUCUGGGUGUAAUCUGAGAUGACUGGCUCACAGUUAAGGGAACUGUGUGUGUCACAGUCUGGCAGUGUGCUGUCAUGUCCUGGAAGCAACGCCUCCUGUCUGUGCCCGAUCCUCAUGGUGAAAAUGCCAAAGGACCAGCAUGGAAUCCUUUCCAGAUGAGAGGAAAUAGCCUUGGAUCCCAGCAGGGGAGAAUCUUUUUAGAGAAAAUUCAGAAAGGCAAAGACUGGCAUGUCCUACAGCUGAGCUUUCCAUGGAAGCCACAGAAUUUGAAGGGAUAAUCCAUCAGUGAUGAGAAAGGCCUGAGAAUAAAGAGGCAACGAAAGCUGCUGGGGUAAGAUUCAAAGACAAAUUCCCAAACAUUUGGAGAUCUUACUGUACCCACAUGAUUCUGUUGUCGUCACAAAAGUUUACAGUGAUGUAACCCCAAAGACCUUUGCAAGGAUGCAGGAGUGGGUCAGUCUUAUAUCCUGAGCUCUGAAAAGUGGAUGUGCCCAAUUCCAUACAGUUUAGAGUUGGUAUCUAUUCUUGCUAUGAGGAAGCUUCCUAUCCUCCCUUAUUCUGGCACCAAUACAACCAAAUAUUCAUGACUAAAAUACUCUGCUGUUUGCAGCAGGUGGCAGUACCUGUCACAAUGCCAGAGGCAGUAAAAAUGGACCAUGAUACAAGAAAAACUACAUAGCUUUUAAUAUUUUCAGGGCAAAAAUACAAUUCAGAUAAUAAAAAAUACCAGAAAGCCCAGAGAAAUUCAUUCCAGCUGUACCCAUACAGUAUGUAAAGAUCCAAGAGCUUUAUGAUGUAACCUCUGGCUGAUGAAUUUUGAUUUAAUUGGUUGUCUGCAACUUGUACCAAAGGACCUUGCUGCAGCAGUCUGUAAUGAAUUUCCACUCACUGCAAUCACUGUCAUAACCUUACCCUACUCACAAAAGAAAUUCAUGGCCUGUUAGGCCUCUUUGAACCAAAGAGUUCUUAUUUUAAAGUUUUGUCUCCUACAGGGAGGGUUAAAAAUGUAGCACUGAGUAGUGAAUCCAUCUGGCACUUUUUUAUAAAGGAUAUACUGUGUGUCAUCCCCUUGAUUAUUUCUAGAUUUAAAUUUGCUCACAACCUUUGACAAGAGUUUUUUCAUGGGGAUAUUAUAUUGGCUUCUCUGCUUGUGUUCUAAAACAUUUUUUCCUUCUAUAUCCCUGUGGGAGUCUCAUCUGUCCUCUUACAGGUGCAUGUGCCUCCACCUGUGUUCUGGCUCUGCUUCCUACUUUGUCAAUCACCAAAAUAAUAAAAUCACCAAAAUAAUAAAAUCAAUAACCCAGCUGACCUGCUCAAAACUUUCCUCGAGUGAGCCUGAUUGUCAUGGGGAAUUUUCCCCUCUCCCCUGCAAUUUACUUAUUUAUUUUUAAGAUAUGCCUAAAGCUGGACCAUGUUGCAGUUAAUAGGUGACAAUGCUUUGAAAGACCAAGUCAGAAUUCACAAUUAUAUCAAAUAAGAAGUUUUUUAAAGAUCCAGGAAGGAAUUCAGCUUGGCAGAGAGUCCCAAAUUCACAAAUACCAAACGAGGGAGAGCAACUACCGUGAGUCAAGUGGCAGAAAAGGUCCCUGGGGUUAUAGGCAGACCACAAAUUUAAAACUAUGCUUUAAAAUUCUGUUUUAUACUAACACUGCAUUUUUUGCAGAGGAUGUAAAACCCAAUUACUCUGCUCUAGAGUGAUUAGUAAACUCUCAGAUGGGAUGCUGGCUGUCGUAUCCUGCAUUAAAGAAGAGUUAGACACAUCUCAGAGAGGGAACCAUUGCACUGUGGCAGGGAAAUACCUGUCUUGGGAGGUUUAAAUAACUUUAGCUAAUCUCAGUGCGUGGAAACAGACUGUAUCUCUCCUUGAGCUCUUUUUUUCAGCACUUUAUAGACUUAAAAUUAUACAUUCUAAAUCUAGAAGGUGUAAAAGUAGAGCAAAAUGUCCAGUAUUUCAGCUAUGGCUCCACUGUUUCAGGAUAAGUCCUGGCAGAUGCAUCCUGUGGUGUUGAAUUUUAACCUCUAAAACAUGGUUUCAAAUGUGGCAAGCUAAGGGACUACCUCUUGUCUCACACUCCACAGCUGUAAUUCAUAGCAGUGGAGAUGCUUCAAAGUAAAUUUAAAAUACCUACAGGCUGUCCCCUACUACAGUCAGAGAGCUCUGAUGCCUUAAUCUUUUAGGUAAGAAGCCAGCUUCCUCUAUUUUUCCUCUCACUAGGGUGGGGUAGGUGCAAGCCUGGAGUGAAUUGACUUUUCUUGCCUUCAGUGGGGACUGUGUGAGUUUUCUGACUGCUAUGAAGAGGCCUUUUAUAACUGUGAUGACUGAAGCAUGCAUUUAUUUGGUGUCGGGGGAAUUUUGUUCACUAGGAAUGUAUAGCUGAGUUCCUGAGGAGCACAGUUUAUUGUAUAAAAUCUGAAUAAACACACAUUAAAAGCA